GCCGGACCUCGACGCGACGUGGCAGACUGCGCGUGGCGACUGGAGAGGAAUCCGGUGCAAGUCCGGAGCGGUCCCGCCACUGUGAACCCCUGACCUGACGGUCGCGGGAAGCCAGGGCAUCUCCCGUCGCUGGUCGCGCCCG
rnacentral:ncRNA from 2 species